UCUUAUUUUUUCUCACUCAAACUAACCCUAAUCUGAAGAAAGAAAGAACAGAAACGGCGCAACACAAGAACAGAACAUGACGAACGACAACCCACAGGCCACAGCUACACCUUCAUCUCUCAACCUCUAAACCUUCAAUACUCACACGAAAUCAAACUAAAUAGCUCAGUCUUCGCCACUGCUCCUUCGUCCGUCUCUCUAUCUCUCACUUUCGUCAUCUCAUCGCAUCACCUUAUUUAUUGUUGAUUCUAAGGGGGAAGAAAGAGUCUGGAGAAAGAAAUGGAAAAGAAAUAGCUGAAAAAGGAACUCAAGCAAGUCGUUCUCCUAAUCCAGCAACUCAAGUCUCAAGACAUGCCAUUGAACUUGUUUGUUUCAGCCAUUGUUUUUUCCAGUUGGGACUGUAGUUAAUUAAUUUAUUGACCGCUCUCAUGUUCUCUCAUGGUGGUUGAUUAAAGAGGAACAAGAAAAACUCAUAGUAAUUGACUUGCGAGUGCUAAGAAAUCAUGGCUGAUUAAAGAGGAACAAGAAAAAAUCUUAAUUGACCGGCAA